ensembl:lncRNA
AUGCCUGAGCAGGAGAGCGGUGCCUCCCCAGGACGUGUACACAGGGUCCUGUCGGCCUGAGCUGAGUGCAAGCUGGACACCCACAGUGCGUCCUCGCACCUGGGAGCCGGGGCCAGGCCUGUGAGGGGACAGCAAAGGGCGGACGUCCGCCCUCCUUGCUCCACCCCUGCCCGUCAGCACAGAAGCAAGGACACCGAAAGCCUUGGUGCCACGGCGUUUGCGCUCUCAGGAGGGAGCCUCUCUUAUCGUCCAAAGAGGAGUUCACCAGGGCCAGAGUCAACGUCCGACUGUGGGUCCCUGACCCUCCCUUGGAAGCUGCCCCAGGACGUCUGCCCGGGACCCCAGGGUGGCACUGCUGAGCCUUUGGGGGGAGCCAGGGUCCACACCUAAUGGCCACCCAGGGCCACAGCGUUGCAGGAUUCUCGUCUCGCCGAGUCGAAGCGUGGAUCUCGGGGACACCGAGGUGAAGUGAAGUGAAAGUUUAAGUGAAGGUGAGAGCAGAAUGGGAAGAAGAGGAGGGAGCUCUCCAGAGCGAGGGGCCUCCGUGGGUUGUCAACAGAGGCGGUUAGGGUCAGCCUUUCGUGGAACACUGACCAGGGAACUUGGUAAAUACCUUGUCUAUACCGCGGAAGAGGGACAUGGUGUUUUCCUAAAUACCCUGAGUACAAACAAGGUGUCCCUUCUGUCUGGUAAGACCUUAACGUUUCUCCACAUCUGGGAUUCUGUGAGCCUGGUCACUAGCCCCCUGCCCCUCUCUCCCACCCCUGACUCAGCAAGGCCCAGGCCACCCUCCAGCCACAGCCCAGCUCAGGACGUCAGGCCCUGGCUCCUGCCUGGGCUCCUGCCUGGGCGGCAAUGGCCAACCUUGAGCACAGCCCACACCCCUCCCCAGGAAACAACCUCACUUUUGUUCCUGGCCCGGCUCCUGGACUUCGGGGGCCUGCCCUCAAGGCAGCACUGUAUGCAUUCCUGCAGGAGGGAAAGAACAAUGGAAGAGUCGGCACCCCCAGGAGGCAGCAGGCCCUCCACCCCUGGGGUCCCUCCACUCCACUCUGGGGUCACGCUCCGCCUGCCAGGCACCCAGCACCCUCCGCGGGCUCCACGUUAGAAGGCAUCAGCCCACACUGGAAUGGGGACCACGUGUGUUCUGCAGUGAAUCUGGCAACAGACUCUGGGAUCCAGGCCGCAGCCCCCCUGCCCCCCGGGCAGCCCGUGCGCCCCUGAACACUCUGAAGACCCUGUAUGAGGGGGGGAUUUCAGACUUCGUGUUUCUGAUGGAGAGUCUGGUUGUCCUGCAGACACAGGAGCUGUGAACUCAGGAGACGUCCAAGGAUGAGAAGCGUGGAGGGAGAGCAGGAGGGGCAGCCAAAACAGAGAAAAGGGCUGAUGGGGCCUCACUCUGUGCUCAGUUGAUUCCCUCCAGGCCUGAGCAGCUGGCCUUUGCCCACUCCCCAGUGUCCGUCCUCCUCCCACCCAUGUUCUCCUUGUAGCGCACAGGCUGCCAGUCUCUGCUGGCUGCUCCCCACAGGGCCUUUGCACCUGCAACCCCCCUGCCUGGGAUCCCUCCUCUCCCUGGGUUGGCAAGUGAACUCCGAUUGGUUCAUCCUUUAGGUGGUGUGCUCAGGUCCUCAGGGAAGCCGUCUGGACCCCCCAGCUGGCUCUCACAGCAUGGCCCCCCUGGGGUGCACGUCCACACUCCAGCAGGUGGUUUAAUCUGGCCCCUAAGGGAGAAGACACACUUGCUGAGAGAGGUCCAGCCAGAGCACAGGCAGCCUGGGAGGGUGGCAGGCAAGGCCCUCCCCAUGGGGGAGGGGGGGCAGACGGGUGCACACCUGCCCCCAGAGAGUCGGGAGACUGGGUUGUCCUCAAGCACGGCUGUGUGCCAGGCCCGGUGCUCAGCCCUGGGACGCGGUGGAGAGUAAGGUGGGCCAGGGCCGCUCUCCUGGGCCUUCUGCCUGAGUGGGGGGCACAGUCAGACCCCAGAAUGCCACGGACUAGAAAGCACUGCGUACGUGAUGAGGCGCUUCACGCGGCAGGACGGCAGAGUCAGCGGGAAACCCGCCAGAGCGGCCGCCGUGGGGCAAGGUGUGCGGUUCUUCAAGAUCUAA